UGCUGGAUGAUAGGGAGAAGACUCAUGAAUAUUCAUUAGGGAGCUCAUCCCUGAAUGGCUAGCACGCGUUGCCUGCUCUGGUUGGGUUGGUUAGGUUUAGGCAAGAGGAGUUUGAUUGGUUAUGGUUAGGGUACGA